rnacentral:rRNA from 1 species
CCUACGGGUGGCAGCAGUGAGGAAUAUUGGUCAAUGGGCGCAAGCCUGAACCAGCCAAGUCGCGUGAGGGAUGACGGUCCUAUGGAUUGUAAACCUCUUUUGUCGGGGAGCACGGCCCGCCACGUGUGGCGGGAAGGAGAGUACCCGAAGAAAAAGCAUCGGCUAACUCAGUGCCAGCAGCCGCGGUAAUACGUAGGGGGCAAGCGUUAUCCGGAUUUACUGGGUGUAAGGGGAGCGUAGACGGCGGGCCAAGUCUGGUGUGAAAGGCCGGGGCUCAACCCCGGGACUGCAUUGGAAACUGGCAUGCUGGAGUGACGGAGGGGCAAGCGGAA